rnacentral:misc_RNA from 1 species
GAUGAAGAACGUAGCGAAAUGCGAUAAGUAAUGUGAAUUGCAGAAUUCAGUGAAUCAUCGAAUCUUUGAACGCAUCUUGCGCUCCUUGUUAUUCCUUGGAGCAUGCCUGUUUGAGUAUCAUGAGCAAAUCUCAAAGUCAAUUCCUUUUGUUAAUUCAAUUGGUUUUGCUUUGGACUUGGAGGUCUUGCAGAUUUCACAGUCUGCUCCUCUUAAAUGCAUUAGCUGGAUCUCAGUAAUUAUGCUUGGUUCCACUCGGCGUGAUAAGUAUCACUCGCUGAGGACACUGUUAAAAAGGUGGCCAGGAAAAUACUGAUUGAACCGCUUCUAACGGUCUAUUAAGUUAGACAAUUGACCCCUUAAGUUUGAUCUCAAAUCAGGUAGGACUACCCGCUGAACUUAAGCAUAUCAAUAAGCGGAGGA